rnacentral:lncRNA from 1 species
GGAGAAGGUGUUAGGCAUUCUCGAGUUCCGUGGUUCUAACACGGUCGCUCUACUGUCAUAUUUGGCUCAAUUAUCUGAUUUUUUACAAUUACGAACUUAGCGCAAAUUGAGACCAUUUACUGCUUUUUGUUGUUAUUAUUAUUGUUAUUAUUUUACAGAGAAUUGUGACAUUGUGACAACAUAUCUCGGACCAUGUCUCAGCCAGUGUACCCGUAGUUGUCGACACAUUUUGACUUUGUUGAGAUUUGGAUUUGGGUAGCAUAAAUGCACACCCGAGUUUAGGGAGGUAAAAUUAUUAAAUACGCGCCUAAAGAUACUAACGCGUUAUUAUUUUGAGAAAGCCGUGGAAUUUGCUAAAUGGCAUGUCCCGCAAUCUAAGUAUUUUUACUAAAUAUGUGUACGAGGGCCCCAUAAUUUACAACUAUUUUGGCGAGGCACACCUUAUUCAUUUUUUAGGAUAUCCUAAAGUGACUAAGAUUUUUCUAUUUUUAUUUGUCUAUUAGAAAAGGUCCUACUUAGUUAGAAUUGUUUCAGAACUAUUAUAAUUGGGCCUUGAACAUAACCCGUAUUAAAAUCAAAGCCCAAGUAUUCAUUCGGGCAGGGUAUUCCUUAGCCUGGGUCCAGGUCAAAAUGAAUGUAGUAUUAAAAUGAGACCUGGGCCAUUUUGUCCAAAAACCGAGGCCCAACUUGCCCAAAACAUGCAAUCCGUUUUAAUUCGUCCAAUCGGGUCAUAAAUUCAAAUCAAAUGCUCAAACAACUACUUAUUGAAAUUUUCUCGAGUCACUUUAAAUGUAUUUAGCAAUUUGAAAUAAGAAAAAAACCAAUGUGCAUCUAUUCAAAGUGAUUGAUUGAAUUCUGCUUUUGGCCCAGUUCAUAUUACCUAUGGAGCUACUGGUAGACACCAUUUACUUAAGCUAUUGCCAUCUUAACCCAAAAAAAUAUUGGCGUAACUUUAUUCAAUUUACACAGUGGUUAUUAUUACCCCAAUGAGUCUGUGAGUUAAUAAAGAAAUAACUUAAUACCUAAGCAAAUUGGCACUUAAUAACACACGUUUGAAAUUUACUCUAAGUUGAGAUGUUAUCACAGAACUCAUGAAGUAAAAUAAAAACUUGAGUAAACUCACCAUAUCGAUUAGCAUUAUUCUUAAAGUAAUCCUAUUACUCCAAACCUAAACGAUUACUACAUGUCCCUUCCUAAUGUUAACAGCCUAUUAACUCUAGUCUCGAUUAGCACUAUUCCUAAAGUAAUCCAAUUACUCCAAACCUCAACGACUAAUACAUGUCCCUUCCUAAUGUUAACAGCCUAUUAACUCUAAUGUUACAAAUUUUACUAAAGUACACACACUACUACACAUUGGAAAUAGAUACAUUCCAAAUUACUUUGAGAUAGUCUUAAUUACAGUCCACAAUCUCAUAUAAAUCAAACCAGUCCAAACAAGUGAGCUAACUACAAUGGAAUACGAAUAAUUGAGUUAUACAUUUAACAAUUAACAAUAAUUCCAAACUCAAACUAACAACAGUCAUUCUUCAUUCAUUGGGCUCAAGAUGAUUUAUACACGUGAAUCAACCUCCGGAUAAAGGGACAAUGAAAAGCGUACCUGGAAUUCAAAUUGAAAUAGAGAAAGGAAUGGUCAGCAGCGGCAAUACAGCAGCAGUCACAACAGCAAUGCAAUAACAACGAUCAAUAGUGAUACCACAGCAAGAGACAACCAACAACUAUUUCAGCUUGAAAGACACCAACAAAUAGACCCAAGAGAUGACUGAACCAACCAAAUAUAGCUCAAAAUGACCCACACAAUUCGAACACAUCCAACUGAACAAUUGAUCUUAGAAGAAACUCCAGCAACUCAAAACUAGGCUAGAAGAUCAAAACCAACUACUGAAACUCGAAAUUAAAAUAGGAAACUGAAUGGAACAAUAUUUUUUUUGAAUCUUUGUAGCUUUUAUAUGUUCUCCUGGAAAGUCUAAUGUUCUUCCUCUCAAAAUCAAUCUCGCUGCUCUUUGAAGCUCUCUCAAAACUGACUCUUGAAGUCUAUCUUUUUGAAACUAACCUCAACUCUUUUUUCUGUCCUCCCUUGCUUAACAGAUUGUUCCCCCUUCUAGUGUCAAAAUGACUCCUAUAUAUCUAAAACCAAGACUCUCUUCCCUCCCCCUUUAAUUAUUAUUACUACCCAUUUAUUAUUAUCCUACUAUUUCUAAUUUCCAAUCAGCAAAAGCAGUCAGACGUGGACCCCACAAUCCACUUUCUUUUUAGUUUAAUCAUUAUGCUCACAACAUAUGCUCUUCUAUGUGUAUUCUUUACACUUUUUAUCAUUAAACUACUAUUCCCAAUUCCAGUUAAGUAAAAGUGGUCAAACACUAUCAUUUUCAGCGCCCCCCACUAAUUAAUUCAAAUUAAAGCACAUUAGGGCCCUACUGGACAUAAUACUCAGUCAAACCAUGUUUUAAUUUUGAACUUCCUAAAUUACCUCCUACUGAUUGCUAUUGUUCUGAUUCCAAACAUCAGCAAGCAGAACCAAACUUAGAACUAUCUACUACUAAAAUUUAAUUACCAGUUGUAACCAAUCUUUAAUACUAAUCUGAACAAAAUCCAAUAACUGAAACUACACAAAUUAGAUCAAAUAGCAGAGUGAUUAAACUAUUAAGGUUGUGAUUGACAUACAUAUAUUACACUAAAUAAAGUGAUUGGAAUCAUGGAAAUAUACUGAAUUCAGAGAUAACACGAUUGGUAAUUGAGAGAAAAGGUUCAAAUGAUAGCACAUAGGGCAAUUUGAAUCACCAGAAACACAAACAAUCACAAUGCUAUGCCAAAACGUAUUGACUGACCAUUUCGAAUAAUCAGGACAAAGCAGAAACAAAAACUAGAGUGAACAUAAUUACACAAUGGCGCGAGUGAUUUCUACUCUAUCCAAUUGACUGUACUAUCUUAUUAACAUAGUGAUGAAAAUAGAACUGGAUUCUUAUGCAAGAACAAAUGAACUACAAAGAACAAGGGAACUAAUAUCACAUAAAUUAAUUCGAAAUAAUAAUCAAUGUUAUCAGAACUACUAAACUACAACCAAGACGGAGUAAACGAUGAGAUUAUUUACACCAUAUGUCGCUUGACAGAAGAAAUGGACCAAAUAAAUAGUCUGAUGAGAAGGAGAAGAGUACUGGACAAAACUGACAAGAAAUAACUCAAACGGAGACACAAUUUAAACAGAAAUGAAAACUUAUGGAGAAGAAAAAGAAGAAGUUAAGAAGGACUCACUAUUCUUGUCUCGGAUUCCACCAAUAUGCCCUUUCGAACUUGAGUUCUAGUUAAUAUUAUACGUCUAUUUCAUGAGAAAUCGGCAUAUAACACUAACUAGGACCCAAUCGACCUUGAAAGCUUGGACACAAUCUCAGACCGUCGAACCCUAAAUCCGUCAUUCGACGGGUUUUACACACAUUCGAGCCAAUAUGGUUAGGGAUUAAGGACGAGGGGGUAAAAGGGAGUAAUUGGUAUAAAUUUGGGGUGGUUUGGCAUAGAUUUGGUUUUGGCUCGAAUCUUCAACUGAAGAUUCGAGAAGAUGCAGCUGGAUUCGAGCCAAGGGAAUAGGGGAUUUGGAUUCAGGGUGGGAAGGGGGUUAUAUGGUGAUAAGUUUGUGGCUGGUGGACCUCAGGCCACCAGGUUUCAGGCGGAAGUGCAGGGUGGCGGCUAGGGUUUGGGUAAGGGGAUCGUCUCUGAUAGAGACGAUGAUGAACAGGGAAGAGAGGUGGGUGUUUGGAUUGGGGGGCUGGGUGUUGGCUUUAGGUUAUAUAGUAUGGGGGAAAGGAUCUAAGC